GGGACAGUGGCAAACGGGUGAGUAACACGUAAGUAACCUGCCCUUAAGUGGGGGAUAACCCUGGGAAACCGGGGCUAAUACCGCAUGUGGUGGUGGGGGUAAUGCUCCAUCACUAAAGCCGCAAGGUGCUUGGGGAGGGGCUUGCGGCCGAUUAGCUAGUUGGUAGAGUAAUGGUUUACCAAGGCGACAAUCGGUAGCUGGUCUGAGAGGAUGGUCAGCCACACUGGGACUGAGACACGGCCCAGACUCCUACGGGAGGCAGCAGCAAGGAAUUUUGUGCAAUGGGCGAAAGCCUGACACAGCGACGCCGCGUGGGGGAAGAAGGCUUUCGGGUUGUAAACCCCUUUUCUCAGGGAAGAAUAAUGACGGUACCUGAGGAAGAAGUCUCGGCUAACUACGUGCCAGCAGCCGCGGUAAGACGUAGGAGGCAAGCGUUAUCCGGAUUUAUUGGGCGUAAAGAGGGCGCAGGCGGCUUUUCAAGUCGGAUGUAAAAUCUCCCAGCUCAACUGGGAGGGAUCAUUCGAUACUGUUAGGCUAGAGAGCAGCAGAGGGAGGUGGAAUUCCCGGUGUAGUGGUGAAAUGCGUAGAUAUCGGGAGGAACACCAGUGGCGAAGGCGACCUCCUGGGCUGUUUCUGACGCUGAGGCCCGAAAGCGUGGGGAGCGAACAGGAUUAGAUACCCUGGUAGUCCACGCCGUAAACGAUGGACACUAGGUAUGGGGAGUAUCGACCCUCUCCGUGCCGUAGCU
rnacentral:rRNA from 1 species